CUGGUUGCCAGAGCUCAGGGAGUAUGGAAUCUCCCCUUUGGGCUUCAAGCACCGGGGCGGGGUUUCCAUGAGGAGUCAGCCUCGGACAAUUACAGGUAAUUCACAAAUAAUCAUAAAAGUAUGAUUACAAGCAAUCUAUGGGAGAGAAAACACAGAAGAGAAAGGACAUUGACAUGCACGCAAAAAUCAACUCCUUCCCUGGAACCCUAGCAACCCUAUUUGACCAACCACGAUAUUGAGAAUUCAAAGCAUCAUGCCCAUGAAUUCCCUUCCAGAGUUACAGGUAACUGCAUUUAAUGUAUAUCUACCAAAUGCUUUCCAGUAACGUCUUCAAAAAUAUUCUAGUAGACUGAAAGAAUGAAGUAAUGAGGACUGUUGCAGACACAGCAUACCAUAGUGAUCCUAUUUCACAGAUGAGCUAUGUAAAGGUAGAUGUCAGGGAUUUAUAUCCUCAUAUCCUCCAUCUCUUUUCCUUAUGUUAUUUCUCCUGUGAAUUGUGA